rnacentral:lncRNA from 1 species
CGGUCUUCUUCUUCUUUCUCACUUCCUUUCCUCUGUUAUCUGUUGCGUCUUCUUCUUCUGGUCUGCAGCGAUGGGAGGUUUGCAGAUGUGGUCACGGGGCGCUGGCAGACGGGGGCGCGGAAGUGUAGGUUGCUGAAGUGGGCUGCUACAGGCGGGUCGAGAUCGGGCGGUGCUGCAGGCAAUCUGGGUCGAGGUUGGGUCGGUGCUGCAGGCGGCUGCUGGGCUGCGAGUGUGCGAGGCUUGCGGUGCUGCUCGGCUGCAGGUCUGCGAGGCUGAUGGACUGCGCG